GACGAACGCUGGCGGCGUGCCUAAUACAUGCAAGUAGAACGCUGAAGGAAGGAGCUUGCUCUUUCCGGAUGAGUUGCGAACGGGUGAGUAACGCGUAGGUAACCUGCCUGGUAGCGGGGGAUAACUAUUGGAAACGAUAGCUAAUACCGCAUAAUAGCAGUUAUUGCAUGAUAACUGUUUGAAAGGUGCAAAUGCAUCACUACCAGAUGGACCUGCGUUGUAUUAGCUAGUUGGUGAGGUAACGGCUCACCAAGGCGACGAUACAUAGCCGACCUGAGAGGGUGAUCGGCCACACUGGGACUGAGACACGGCCCAGACUCCUACGGGAGGCAGCAGUAGGGAAUCUUCGGCAAUGGACGGAAGUCUGACCGAGCAACGCCGCGUGAGUGAAGAAGGUUUUCGGAUCGUAAAGCUCUGUUGUAAGAGAAGAACGAGUGUGAGAGUGGAAAGUUCACACUGUGACGGUAUCUUACCAGAAAGGGACGGCUAACUACGUGCCAGCAGCCGCGGUAAUACGUAGGUCCCGAGCGUUGUCCGGAUUUAUUGGGCGUAAAGCGAGCGCAGGCGGUUAGAUAAGUCUGAAGUUAAAGGCUGUGGCUUAACCAUAGUACGCUUUGGAAACUGGGAGACUUGAGUGCAGAAGAGGAGAGCGGAAUUCCAUGUGUAGCGGUGAAAUGCGUAGAUAUAUGGAGGAACACCAGUGGCGAAGGCGGCUCUCUGGUCUGUAACUGACGCCGAGGCUCGAAAGCGUGGGGAGCAAACAGGAUUAGAUACCCUGGUAGUCCAUGCCGUAAACGUUGGGCACUAGGUGUGGGGGACAUUCCACGUUUUCCGCGCCGUAGCUAACGCAUUAAGUGCCCCGCCUGGGGAGUACGGCCGCAAGGCUAAAACUCAAAGGAAUUGACGGGGGCCCGCACAAGCGGCGGAGCAUGCGGAUUAAUUCGAUGCAACGCGAAGAACCUUACCAAGGCUUGACAUGCAUUAGAUCGCGUCAGAGAUGGCGUUUCCCUUCGGGGCUGGUAUACAGGUGGUGCAUGGUUGUCGUCAGCUCGUGUCGUGAGAUGUUGGGUUAAGUCCCGCAACGAGCGCAACCCUCGUUCUAUGUUGCCAGCACGUGAUGGUGGGGACUCAUAGGAGACUGCCGGGGUCAACUCGGAGGAAGGUGGGGAUGACGUCAAAUCAUCAUGCCCCUUAUGUCUUGGGCCUCACGCAUGCUACAAUGGCCGGUACAGAGGGUUGCGAUACUGUGAGGUGGAGCUAAUCCCUAAAAGCCGGUCUCAGUUCGGAUUGGGGUCUGCAACUCGACCCCAUGAAGUCGGAGUCGCUAGUAAUCGCAGAUCAGCAACGCUGCGGUGAAUACGUUCCCGGGCCUUGUACACACCGCCCGUCAAGUCACGAAAGUUGGUAACACCCGAAGCCGGUGGCCUAACCCUGGUGGGGGGAGCCGUCGAAGGUGGGACUGGCGAUUGGGACU
rnacentral:rRNA from 1 species